UUUUCACCAUUUCUUCUCUCCUCAGCAGCGCCGACACACACAAACCCUAGAAAUUCGAAGACUCCGCGAUCUUCAGCUCCGGCGACUGAAUCGCCGCCAUCAAUAGACGUAAACUGCGACAUCUGACCACAACGGACUGAAUCGCGAUGUCUCCUUGCCAAAACAGCGUCGUCUCACCUCAAACUCUAAAGCUUCUACCCUACUCCGCCGAUUUUUAGCGGCGACAACCAAAGCGCCGACGUCGCCGGCACAAAACCUAGCCAGCAUAGUCUUAUCCACGCUGCCUGCGCAAACUCUUGCCGAUACAGGCUUAUCCACGUCUAACAGAAGCUAUUCAAUUUAACCGACGACAGUAUAGAAUCGCAAACCCCAGCCCCAAUUCAAGGCGUUCAGAAGUUAUUCGGUUAGAUCGAAGACGGUUUUGAUUUAAGGGAAUCAUCUUAAUGAACAUAAAAAGAACAAAGAUUGCAUAUAAACUAAAAUAUGAGGAACAAACUGGGCAAAAAUGACAUGUGAUAUGCAUUCAUGCAAAAAGUUUGAGGACCAAAAUUUCUGUUUUUAUAUGGGAUGAAGAACAUCCAUUAAAGUGGGAUCAAGAGUCUCAGGAAUAAUAAGGUUUGAGAAGAAAAUUUAACAAACAUAGAACGAAAAACAUCCACUACAGAGGAUCAAGAGUGUGUUUCAAAACGCAUAAAACAAUAAGAUUUGAAAGGAAGCCACUAAAAAUCAUGAAAUGAAGAAGAUUUAUUCGAAGCAGAUGAAAAGAGAACAAAUUUGGGAAGAAAGAAAUGUGGAGAGAAAAAAGAAAAAGAUGAGAUGGCAAGUAUGAGAGGCAACAAAGCCUACUCCUACUGAUUCUGAACUUAGUUUUUAAAAAGAGGUAUUUAUUGCAUUGGAAUCUGGAGUAAAUAUGUAUCUCAAUCCCUUUUCAAAAAUGAAUAUAUAAGUUUAUCUGAUAUCUCUAUAUUUGUAAUAGAAUAGGUUUAAGUGCACAUACCAAUAAAAGUAUAGAUAAAAAAGGGAAAAAAAA